rnacentral:miRNA from 1 species
AUGUCCUUGUUGGAGGAAGUGUGUCACUGGGGAUGGGCUUUGAGGUUUCAGAAGCUCAAACCUGACCCAGCGUCACUCUCUGUUCCUGCUGCCUGCAGAUC